rnacentral:rRNA from 1 species
UUUUUUGAGAGUUUGAUCCUGGCUCAGGGUGAACGCUGGCGGCGUGCCUUAGGUAUGCAAGUCGAACGGUCCGUAGGACCGAACAGUUAACAAUUGACAGUUAACCAAUUAACUUAAUAGAAUUGAAGAAUGCAGACUUUCAGGUUUUUUGAGUUUCAAGUUUAUAAAGAUGGAAAAUUGCUUUAUAAAAGAGUAGUAGAGAUAACGAAAAAGUUUCCUCGUGAACAUUGGGAGCUUGGUGAUCAAUUAAGGAGAGCAUCGUUAUCUGUUUGUCUUAAUAUUGCUGAAGGUUCGGCUAAGUUUUCUGAUAAAGAUUUCAAGCGAUAUGUUGAGAAUGCAUUGGGUUCAAUAAACGAAUCUGUAGCGUGUUUAGAUAUAGCGCUUGAUAAUUUAUUAAUAAGUAAAUCUUUUUUUGAAGAUGUAAAAAUCUUAGUUGAAAGCAUUACUAAGCAGUUAGGAGGUUUGGCUAAGAAACUAAGAUCUUCAUGUUAAUUUUGUUAAUUUGUCAAUUUGUUGAAGGUUCUGUCCUACGGAUAGUGGCGGACGGGUGAGUAACGCGUAAGAAUCUACCUUUCAGUAGAGAAUAACUUGUCGAAAGACGGGCUAAUACUCUAUACGGUCCCGAUUUAAUCGGAACCAAAGGUCUUAACUGACCGCUGAGAGAGGAGCUUGCGUCCUAUCAGCUAGUUGGUGGGGUAAUGGCCUACCAAGGCGAUGACGGGUAGCUGGACUGAGAGGUCGGACAGCCACAGGGGCACUGAGACACGGGCUCCACACCUACGGGUGGCAGCAACCAGGAAUAUUGCGCAAUGGACGAAAGUCUGACGCAGCGACGCCGCGUGGAGGAUGAAGGCUUUCGGGUCGUAAACUCCUUUUGCCAAGUCAUACGACUUGGAGAAUAAGCUCCUACUAACUACGUGCCAGAAGUCUCGGUAAUACGUAGGGAGCAAGCGUUACCCGGAUUUAUUGGGCGUAAAGAGUGCGUAGGCGUUCUGAUAAGUCACGUUUUAAAUACUGAGGCUUAACCUUAGAUUGGGGCGUGAUACUAUCAGAAUUGAGGAUUGUUCGGGGUACCGGAACAGUUGGUGUAGCGGUGAAAUGCGUUGAUAUCAACUGGAACACCAAAGGCGAAGGCAGGUGCCUGGAAUUAUCCUGACGCUGAGGCACGAAAGCUAGGGUAGCGAAACAGAUUAGAGACCUGUGUAGUCCUAGCCGUAAACUAUGGGCGCUAGAUAGCCCGCUCUCAAGUGUAUAACACUUGAGAGAAUUUCCAAUUUCAAAUUUCCAAUUUCAAAUAUUUUGUUUGGAAUUUGGUAUUUAUGUUAUUAGGGAUUCUUGAAAGUUAUACUUUUGAGUGUGGGCUGUCGUAAGCUAACGCGUUAAGCGCCCCGCCUGGGGAGUACGGCCGCAAGGCUAAAACUCAAAGGAAUUGACGGGGACCCGCACAACCAGUGGAGCGUGUGGUUCAAUUUGAGACGAAGCAAAAAACCUCACCAGGGUUUGACAUGCUACCGUUUAUUCUUCUGGAAACAGAAGGAAAUCCCGCGAAAGCGGGAUGGUAGCACAGGUGUUGCAUGGCUGUCGUCAGCUCGUGCCGUGAGGUGUUCCCUUAAGUGGGGAAACGAGUGCAACCCCUGUCCAAUGUUAAAUAUUCAUUGGAGACUGCCCUAUCAUUAGAUAGGGAGGAAGGAGGGGCGGACGUCAAGUCCGCAUGGCCCUUAUACCCUGGGCUACACACACCCUACAAUGGCGAAUAACAAUGAGUAGCAAGCCGGCAACGGCAAGCCAAUCUCAUAAAUUUCGCCUCAGUUCAGAUUGGGGUCUGAAACCCGACCCCAUGAAGUCGGAAUUGGUAGUAAUCGCGGAUCAGCGGGCCGCGGUGAAUACGUUCUCGGGUCUUGUACACACCGCCCGUCAAGGCAGCAAAGCCGGCAGCUAUCGAAUCCCCUCUCAAAGCUUAUG